GGGGGAAAAAUUAAUAAAUAAAAAAUAAUAAAAGAAUUUUUAUAUUGUGAAUAUUUAAUGGGGGUUAAAGUAUUUAUAAAGAAAAAAUUAAAAAUUUUAUAGUGAAUUAGUAUUGUAAAAUAAUUUUUAAAUAUAUGAAAAUUAAUUUAAAUUAAAGUAAAUUUAAUUUAUUGUAUCUUGUGUAUCAGAGUUUAUUAAUAAAAAUUUUUGUAUAAAAAUUUCUCGAAUUUAAAAGAGUUAAUUAAUUAUAAAAGUUAAUGUUGAAUAAUUAUUUUUAAUAAUUAAUUAGAAAUGAAAUGUUAAUCGUUUUUAAAUAUAUCUAGUUUUUUUAGAAAAAAAUUUAAUUUAAAAUAUAUUAAUGUAAAAUUUUUAUUAAUUAAAUUUUUAUUGAAAUAUAUUUAAUAUUUUAAGGGAUAAGCUUUAAAAUAAAAUUUUAUAAUGUAAUUUAAUAAUAUUUAAAAUUUUAAAAUUUAUAUUGUUAAUAAAUUAUAAUUUUUUAUAAAUAAUUUAAAUUUAUUUUAAAAUUUAAAUUUAAUAUUUAAUUUUUUAUAAAAAAAAAAUUUUAAAUUAAUUAAAAAUUAAAUAUAAUGAUAAAAUUAGUAUAUAAACUAUGAAUAAUAAUAAUAUAAAAAUUAUAAAAAUUUAAAUAAAGGAAUUAGGCAAAAAUUUAUAUUCACUUGUUUAUCAAAAACAUGUCUUUUUGAAAAUAAUAUAAAGUCUAAUCUGCCCACUGAUAUUUAUUAAAGGGCUGCAGUAUUUUGACUGUACAAAGGUAGCAUAAUCAAUAGUCUUUUAAUUGGAGACUUGUAUGAAAGAUUGAAUGAGAUAUAGACUGUCUCUAUUUGAUUUAUAAAAUUUAAUUUUUUAGUUAAAAAGCUAAAAUAAUUUUAAAAGACGAGAAGACCCUAUAGAGUUUUAUAAUUUAAUUAAUUAUUAUAAAUAUAUAAAUUUAAAAUUUAAAAUUAAUUAAAUUAUUUUAUUGGGGUGAUAAAAAAAUUAAAAUAACUUUUUUUAAAAAUUAACAUUGAUUUAUGAUUAAAUGAUCCAUUAAUAAUGAUUAGAAGAAAAAAUUACCUUAGGGAUAACAGCGUAAUUUUUUUUUUUAGUUCUUAUAAGAAAAAAAGUUUGCGACCUCGAUGUUGGAUUAAGAUAAAAUUUAAAUGCAAAAGUUUAAAAUUUUUGAUCUGUUCGAUCAUUAAAAUCUUACAUGAUCUGAGUUCAAACCGGUGUGAGCCAGGUUGGUUUCUAUCUUUAAUUAAUUAUAAUAUUUUAGUACGAAAGGAUCAAAUAUUAAAAAUAGUUUUUUUAAAAUGAAUAUUAUUAAUAAAUUAUUUAAGC
rnacentral:rRNA from 1 species